rnacentral:lncRNA from 1 species
UCACGUGUUGGCCAGCGUGAAGUGUACUCAAAUCCUACCUCGGUAGUUAUCCUACGCGCCUCUCCAAUUGAGGUAAGCUCAAUAAUUGGGAACCGUGCCCCUCUAAUUAGGCUAGCCCACGGAACCCCCGUCACUGCAGUGCCCACUUUAUAAUCCACCAACCAAUAAAAUCACAAUAGUAUGACAUGGCUCACUUAACACAUUCAAGGCAAAUCAAAGCAGUUCACAUAUUCUUUAAAUCAUAAAAAUAACCAGUCAUACCCACAUUUAUCAUAAGCCAUUUAAUGUAAAAUCAUGGAUAAACAACACAAUCAUAGUAUAGGUCUCCAAUUACUCUAUUUUUGAAAUCAUUAUUAAAUUUU